ensembl:lncRNA
CCUGUAUAGUGCACUAGUUCUGACCAGAGCCCUAUGCCAUUUAGGACACAAACGAAGAAAGGGACUCAUGAUCUUGCUCUCUUUCUUUCCUCUGUAUUUACUGGUCCAUAUUGCGAGUUUGGAACGUCCUCACCACAUAAAUCACCGUCACUGAAGUUGUACUCAGAGACAAGAAAUACUUUGUGAGCCUGUUACAACAACGACAUUGUUGAAGACGUAAUCAUUUGUUUGUUUGUGCCACAAAGUUCUAGUUAGUUGUAACCAGGAAGGAAGCAGCCUUCCAUAUUUAUUUAUUUAGUCAAAUGUGAUAUGUACAGUACAGAGACAGAGGCUGUAUAGAGUUUUUAAUACACCAGGUACAAUUCUUAUAAACCAAUCACACUGUUCUUAUUACAUAAGUCAUUGGGAAAACACCAUAGAUAGUACCUAAUUACCGUUUAUAAAAGAUGACAAGGAACAGUCAUAAAAAUACAUAGUGUAGGAUUACUAUUUUUCUCUCAUGAUUCAAACAAUAAACGCAUAAUUUUUAAAAAAAAUGAAUGAAAAUGUGCAUGAAGUAAUAUUUGCUAUACAAAAAAUGACUCGUUGGAUAUGGCAGGCACUUGAUCCACUUCCAAGUCUAACGUGCGGAACACUGUGGAAACAUCAAGCACCAAAACCAGCUGUUUGGUUAGAAUAUUCUCCCCCUUCCCCCGACUCCUCCUCUUCCUUACAACCCAGAAAAUACAUUAAAAAGCAGAGAAAGGAGUAAUACGGUAGCAAUAUGUUUGGAACGGAGGGCGAUAUCACUUAUUGAGAAGCAUAUAAAACUAUGGUGAGAGAGUGUGAAAGAGAGGAAAAGAGGCAAACAGACAGAGAGAGAGAAGAAAAGAGAGAGAGAGAGGGGCGAAGAGAGAAAGAGAGAGAGGGGUGAAGAGAGAAAGAGAGAGAAAGCAAGAGAGGAAAUGAUAAUAAAUUGCAAAAUAGAGAGCGUGAAUAUGGAAGUAUGGAAAUGUCAAAUGUGCCUUUUCUCCAGCCCUGGUCUGUUCCAGCGGCUCAGUGGAAUACUUCUGAGGAAGCAAUAGAAUACAUCGCUAGUCAGGUCAAUCUACCCUUACAGACUGCCUCAUUCCCACCUCCCACUUGUCUUAUUCGCUUCACUCCUCUCCUAUUGCCGUUUCAUUGACACCCAUUGUUUCAACAUCUGCCAAGGUAUAUUCAAAGACAUGGGAGGCAUCACAUUACAGGCACACACCCACAAACCCACACACACACACACACACACACACACAUUCUCACCCACACACAGUUGAGAAAAAAUAUGACAACGGUAGUUGAAACAUGAAUUACGACAGUAUUGAUUACUUAUGAACGGUAAUAGAAUGAAAUGAAAUGAAACAGAGAUUGUUGUUUUAGCUGGGCCUCGGGAAAGACAGACAGUCAUACUGUGAGGCUGUAUGUGAUGCUGUUUAGGAACGUUGUAGUGAACAGUAGGUGGUUUCCCGGUAACCACCUUAAUGAAAAAUGUGAAGCAGCAGUCAGUCGGACGGGUCAGGACAGACUGGUUACAGGCUUUAGUUACAGUGACUCAGCCAAGUCAAUGGCCAAACAGUCAGGCAGAAACACCAUGGCACACACACACACCCUAACCCUCCCACUCUACCUCUAACCCAUCCACCACCCCCUCACUAGCGCCGCGCAGACACAACACAGAUACAUGUUUCAUGAGCUACAUUAAUUAAUAACCCAACCCUGACCUCGUUUAUACUGAUGAAUCGCCCAGAUGAAAGGAGUUCAAAUCAAGUCAAAACAAAUGUAUUUAUAAAGCCCUUUUUACAUCAGCAGAUGUCAAAAAGUGCACAAACAGAAACCCAGCCUGAAACCCCACAGUGAAAUGAGAUCUAAAGGUUAACCUCUGGUUGAGGAGGAGAACUACAAGAGAAAGGAGAAGAAAAAACAAGGGUAGAGGAUAAAACAAGAGAGAGAGAGAGAGAGAGAGAGAGUGAGAGAGUGAG